CUGCAUAGACCGACAGGGUUUCUACACCGCCUUACCCCAGCUUCACAAUCCCCGGGCAGUGUGAAGGGGACCCGACACGUACAGCUUCAUACCAACGUUGCCUUUAGUUAUAAUUAUGGAAUUUAUUCUCUGCAGGGAUGGACACCGACGGUGAAAGCAAGGUGGGCUAAGGGGUAAGGUAAAGGACCCGCAUUUAAGAGACCUGGGCUGUAGUCUGUACUCUGCCACUGAGCCAAAGCCCACUGGAAUCAAUGGGAGCGUUUCCACUGACUUUAAUUGCCCGUGUUCUAGGAACCUAGGGCAACUAUUUCAUCUAUUUGUGAGUAUCUCCCCUCUUCCCCUUUUAAUACAUUGUCCUAGUUAGAAAAUAAUCUAGCUAGGGCAAGGACUGUCAGUGUGUUUGUCUAGUUAACUUCAGAACACCAGCGCGCUGAUCUCAGGGGAGAUGCCAAGUGGCUCUUGCAUCAGAGAGAAAUAUUAACACCUCCCCCAGUGUAGCACCAGAGCCUGGAUGGAUACAACAGUUACUCACCUUCUCCUAACUGUUGUUCUGUGAGAUGUGUUGAUCAUGUCCAUUCCAAUCAGGCGUGUGGGCACUGUGUGCAGGGUAGCCAGAAGAUUUUUCCCCUAGCAGUAUCCGUAGGGUUGGCCUGGGCACCCCCUGGAGUUGCACCCUCAUGGUACUCAGUGUAGGGCCCUGCCGGCCUGAGCCGACCCUCCUUCAAUUCCUUCUUACGGGCUACUCAGACAAAGGAGUAGGAGGGUGGGUAUUGGAAUAGACAUGAACACCACAGCUUGAAGAACAAGUUAUGAGAAGGUGAGUAACCAUUUUUUCUUCUUCGAGUGAUUGAAAAUGACAUGAACCAUCAGGUGCCUCCCAAGGCUAAAUUACAGAGGCGGGGUCGGAGUUGUCCACAGAUUGGAGCACGCUCUACCAAAGGCUGCAGCGGCUCUGGCCUGCUAGACUGAUCUGUCCCCUACUAAAGUCAAAAGCAAGAGCUCUAGUUGAAUAGAAUGGUGCAGAAUGUCCCCUGAUUCCUGUUCCAGGAGGACCAGCUCCCUGUGUAAACUCCUUCUAAUUCAAGAUACUGAAAGCUAAAUCAGAAAUAAUAUUCUUUAUACUUCAGCUGUCUUUAUGAGGAAGCAGGAAGCCUGAGACACUGACACUAAUGGGAGAUAACUGAUCCUAGGACAUUCAACUGACCAGCACUUCAUGCCUGAAAGUUUUAACAUUGAACUUACCCACAUUUAUAAGUCCCCUGAACCUGUGCAAUAUUCAUAUGACCACUCAAGUUUCUUGCCAGGGCUGUAGGAAUAAUUGGGACAGAUUUCACAGGAGUGUAUUCUAAAGCAUUUGUUAUAGUAACAGCUGCCCAGUGAAAAUCAAAGUUUAGGUUGUCCAUGUUCUCUGCUGAAGUAAUGUGAACUCUUAUGGUGAGCAGUCUGGAAAGACCCAAAGAGUCUCUACUGCAUAAACUGUGUUGAAGUCCCUAGGAUAUGCAAAAAAAUUGCUGAGAUUAGUCUUUAUACACUUAAUUUAUACAUGACAAUAGGUGUAUUACAGUAAUGCCUAGGUGCCUGUGUCAUGAAUCAGGGCCAACAUUGUGCCAGGCAUUGUUUAAACACAAAGAAUCGGCCCCUUCUUCAAACAGCUCAUGACUAUAUUGAACAUAGUGAAUAGUAAUAGGAAAUGCAUCCUAUAUAUAUAUUGAACAUAGUGAAUAGUAAUAGGAAAUGCAUUUUAUAUAUGAAAAUGCGUAGUUAGUUAUGUUAAAUUGGAACACACAAAAAUCUACAAGGGCAAACGGAGGGUCCAAGAAUUAGUUUAUCAAAAACCGAGCAACAGGACAACUGCUUGCAUCCAAGAAACCCGCAUAAUACAAAUGGAUGUGUCACCACAAGGACAUUAUUCAAUGGAACAUAAAUUGCUUUUUCUAGAUAUGAAAAACCACCCUAUAAAUACAGUCACAGGGCAAGAGUAGCAAGAAAAAAAUGUUUAGCUGCCCCAGAUCCUCUGCUUCCUUGAACAGCAGCUAUACUUACUGAAGCAUCCCCUCUGGAGAAAACAAAUAUCCCUUCUCUCCCAGAAGAGUUUGGCAAGGAAGGUUUAACUUAAGCUAGGCUUAAAAUAUUUAAAGAUGUACAGCUCCCAUUUAUACAGUUUGUAGAAAAGGAAAUUGGUUCAGCUGUAAAGCCUAUUAGAUUUACAUUUGUUUACAAGUAAUAGCCUAUUUACACACAUACUCUUGUGAGUUUACCACAUUACUUCACAAGUUAUCUAUGUAACUUAAUUUUUUGUUUACGUACCAUCUCUGUAGUUACUGGUAUACUGUUUCUACACACUAACAUUUUAAUGUUUUUCAUAGUCCAGAUAACUCUCUCAAUACUUUGUGUAUUAAAAGCUGCACAAACCAUACAAGGUGCAACUUGCCCUACCAAAGAAUUCCUAACAUUUUUGUUUUAAAUUAACUGGGUCCUAAACCAAUCAUACAAACCUGUCUUGGGGUCUGAUCUUAUAAAGACUUAAGCAUGUGUUCAGCUUCAAGCAAAGGAAUAUUAUUUCUUUAAAGAUGAACGGCAGAGAAACUUAUUGCUUAUGCCUACUACUAUGCCUUUUGAUGCAAAAAAGAAUGAGGUAUUUUUCUGCUUUAUUUUUUAAACCGUGGGGAAAAAAACCAACAUCAUCAUGGCUUGCCUUACUCAUUUUGCUUGAAGGACCAACUGGAGAACUAGAGAAGGAUAAAAAAAAAUCCUAACAGACUGAAAUUUAAGAUUAGCUCUCAGACUUCAGUUGAAAUCAGUUUGAAAUACAAUUCUCAAAACUGGAAAACUAAUCAGUGUAACUAGAUAUCCUGUCCUAUCAUAACUGAAGGUUUGGAAAGCUGCAGCUUAUCUUGCGGUCUCUUGCGAUGUAAUUAUUUCAGGUUUCUCCAGCAACAAAGGGUAUGCCUACAUUGCAAUGAAAAACGCACGGCUGGCCAGUGCCAGCUGACUCAGCUUCACGGGGCUGUUGCAUUACAGUGUAGUCUUGAGGGCUCGGGCUGCAGCCCAGGCUCUAGGGCCCUGCAAGGUAGGAGGAUACCGGAACCCAGAAGUCUACACUACAAUGAAACAGCCCGAGUUGGCUGGCAAGGGCCAACCACAGGUGUCUAGUUGCUGUUUAGACAUACCCAAAGAGGGUUCUUUACUUCCCUUUGGCUUUUUGUAGGCGGGGCUAAAGGACUGAUGUUCCUGAUUAUAUAUAAACAAAAAAAUCCACCCAAAUCAUGCAUGACUUUCUUUAUAUACUGUAAAUCAACCGAUAAAGAGGGUGUAGGGUCUGGAUGGUUUUGGUUUUUUGGGGGGCACUUUGCGGAUCUUUUGAUUUCAAGAGAAUUUACUGUUGAAUAUUGCCUUGCAAACUGAAAUAAAUUAUUCACAAGAAUGAUUUGGCACCAUCAACAGAGCAAGCUCUCCCCAUAUUAUCCCACCAUUCUGGGAGAGAGUUUCAGCUAGGAGCGAAAAGGAGUUUUGUCUUCAUGCUCAUUUUGUCUUUGGAAUUUCUACUGAGACUGCCAAUAAAGGAGCUUAUUGGUGACAAUCAUGAUGUGGACUGAGAACAGCUCACUUCACAUAGGCCAUUAAAUGGUAACCUUCUGGCCUUUCCUCUUCUGGUCUGGAUUUAGAUACUGAAAGCCAUCUCGUCUCCUCUCUGUGUCACUGUUUUAAGAGAUAAGAAAGUUGCUAGGAGUGGCUUACCUUAAAAGCUAAGUUGAAGUCUUCAGAAUUGUGCACUACAAUAUCUCCGGAGGAAGAUCCCCAAGCAUUAAUUGUACAUGGAAUCAAAAAGUCCCCAGGAAGAGGUGCUGUGGGGACUUUCUCUGAACCAUCAGUUACUUCUCGACCAGGAUCAAAUCUGUCUAUUGUCAGUGAUACACCUUCAUCGUCUGGGGGGGGGAAAAAAUAAGAGUGGAUGUGGAGAAGUAUACUGUAUCCUUCAUACCAAAACCAUCAAGUUCAGUUCAUUGACCGAGGCUUGCUCAAUCACCAGAAAUGCAGAAAGAAGCAAGCCAGUGCAAACGAUUUAAUAAAACAUUCAUGUAGGUUAAAAAAAAGUUACCUUCAUCCACUGCAAGAGUCCCGAGCAAAAAACAGGAAAAGAACUUUCUUUCACUCUGCUUAGCAUGGCGAUAGGCAAGACGAAGAGCCUUCUCCAUCAUCAAUAUUUUGGGAUUUCUGGGUGGGAGGAGGAGGGAGAAAGAGAAAAGAUAAUGAAUGUGUUUAAUAACUACAUUAACAAUGAUUUCUAGGUAUAUUAUAUAAACAAGAAUAUUUUAGGUAUAGUUAGGAAGUUUUAAUAUAUAUAAUCUUUUGUCCUGAAUAAACUACUUCAAAGAAUAAACCAAUAUUUUACUACAAUGAAACAAUCCCAUGCCCUAACAGGAAGAGAUCUGGAUAUUAUAGUAAAGGAAGAAUAGUAGAAUCUAGGUGUAAUAAGCCCCUUAGAAAUUUUUUUAGCUUGAAGCUGCAUGUCUAGUUUGACCGUGAGCUGUCUGUGAAGAACAUAAGGAUGAGAGAUGACUGUAGACUGAAGUGGUCUGUGAGAAUGCUAUAAUGCGUGUCCCAAAUCCUACCUGGUCAUGGUUAGGAAAGACUUAAAAUGUAAGUCUUUAACAUACAUUUUUAACCAAUGAAUGUCUAUUUUAGAACUACCCUGUAAAGGGUUCAGGAAUACUGUGAGAAAAAUCCAUAAAGGGUAAAGGUGUAACAAAAGUACAGCCUAGUCAACUGAAAAGGAUCAGGUCUAUCAACUACUGCAAUGCCCCAUGUACACUAUGCCUCACUUUGUUCAAUGCUUAACUUCACAGAAGAUUUUGUACAAAUCUGAUUAAUCCUCCAUUAAAAGAACAUUUUUCCGUCA